rnacentral:SRP_RNA from 1 species
UGUCAAGCCCCGGGCAACAGGUGUUCGCCCAACCCCGCCAGGUUCGAAAGAAAGCAGCGGUUAGUGAAUUGCCUGUGUGAUCCGGGUCGCUUGGCAUUU